GACGAACGCUGGCAGUGUGUCUUACACAUGCAAGUCGGGCGGAUCUCUCUAAUUGCAGCAAUGCAAUUGGAGAGAUCGAGCGGCAAACGGGUGAGUAAUGGAUAGGUAAUCUACCAUAAUGACUGGGAUACCCCCUUGAAAAAGGGAUCAAUACCAGAUAAUGUCAGUUUAAAUACUUUUAAACUGAAGAAAGAUGGCCCAAAGCUAUCACAUUAUGAUGAGCCUAUCUCCUAUCAGCUUGUUGGUGAGGUAAUGGCUCACCAAGGCUAUGACGGGUAGCUGGUCUGAGAGGAUGGUCGAGCCACACUGGAACUUAGAUACGGUCCAGACUCCUACGGGAGGGCAGCAGUGGGGGAAUCUUGGGCGAAUGGGCGAAAGCCUGACCCAGCGACACUGCGUGGGUGAUGAAGAUCUUUGGAUUGUAAAACCCUUUUCCUGAAGAUGAAAGGUAGGAUUGAGAAUAUCCUUCCUACCCUGAC
rnacentral:rRNA from 1 species